rnacentral:rRNA from 1 species
CGUUCCCGGGCCUUGUACACACCGCCCGUCACACCACGAAAGUCGGCAACACCCGAAGCCGGUGGCCCAACCCGCAAGGGAGGGAGCCGUCGAAGGUGGGGUCGAUGAUUGGGGUG